rnacentral:lncRNA from 1 species
CAUGAACUGUCUGCUCUGGCUCUUUACGUCCUGAAAUAAUCUCCCACAGAGUUCAGCCUUGUAUCUCAUCCUUUCGAAGUCGUUAUAAUAAAGUACUAGUCUAAGAAAUGGUGUCGGUAUUAUCGACUACUCUUCUCCUUUCAAAAUAACUGGCCUUGUGCCAAAUAUUGGAAAGAAUUAUUAUUAUUCAUAUGAUAAAUCGACAGAAUCGUUAUAUCAUCGGACGAAAUGCUUAGCAGCAUAUCUUCCGACUCUUAGCAGCAUAUCUUCCGAGAAAUGCUUUCUACAUUCUGAGUUCAAAUCCCGAUGAGGUCAACUUUGCCAUUCAGGAUACUUUAAAUAAAGUACCAGUCAAGUACUGGAACGAUGGUAUCGACUAAUCUCUUUCCUUAAAAUUUGCUGUGCUUGUCUUUAAAACAGAAGCUGCUGCUCUUACUACUCUAAAGUUAGUGGCUGAUAGGAAUGGCAGAGUGGGACAAAAAAGACCUUGCGAUAUUUUUUCCAGUUCCGUAUGUUAUGAGCUCAAAUCUUGCUGAUGUCAAUUUAGCAUUUCAUCCCUUGGGAGUUGAUAAAGUAUCAGUCAAGUACUGGCGACGAUAUUAUCGACAAUCAACUCCACCCCAAUUGAUAGCUUUAUAUUAAGGUCAGUGGAUGUCAGAACUGAUAGAGGUAUGGACAAAUCUUUACUGUAUUUAGUAAUGUCUCUUUAACUUCUGAGUUCAAAUCACACUGAUCUAAACUCUGCCUUUCUUCUUUCCGAGUUCGAUAAAGUAAAUAUGUGUCAUCCUCCCACAAAUAAAUGUGAGCUCUGUAGUAAUUGGUUAUUUUUAAGAUAGUCGACAUAUUUAAAAAGGCGUCAGAUAAAAUUUGUAACUGCUUUAGUUACAGGCGUUUCCAUUGUGAGUUUAACCACGCAGCAGUACACUUCACUAUUCAUUUGUCAAGUUUGAAAUAUAAUAGAUAUAUAACAACCAGUCAAAUAGAAACAAUGUAAGUGAAGGUACACCGAUGUCCAGCCCUCAAAUAUCUGGCCUUGUUGCUGUGGUAGAAAACAAUACUAUUAAUAUUAUUCUUAUGACCAAGGCGAUGAGUUGGCAGAAUUGUUAGCACGCCGGUCAAAAUGCUUAGCAGCAUUUCGUCCGUCUGUACUUUCUGAGUUCAAAUACCACCGACGUCGACUUUACCUUUCCUCCUUUCGGGGUCGAUAAAAUAAACACCAGUUAAAAACUGGUCGAUGUAAUCGAUUUAUCUUCCCUCGAAAUUCCUGGCAUUGGGACUAUAGUAGAAAGGAAUAUUAUCAUUGUUACCAAGACGGCAACCUGGCAGAAUCAUUAGCGCGUCGGAUGAAAUGCUAGGCGGCAUUUCGUCUGUUUGCUCUGUGUUCAAAUUCCGUAGAGAUCGACUUUGUUUUUCAGCCUUCCAGGUUCGAUGAUAAAAGUACCAGUUACACACUGGUAUCGUUGUAAUCGACAAGCACCUCUCCCAAAUCCCAGGCCUUGUGUCUAUAGUAAAAAGGAUUAAUAUAUUAUUGUGACGCAGGCGAAGAGCUGGCAGAAAUGUUCGCGAGUGGAAGAAUCUACUUAAAGAGGUUUCUUCCGGCUCUUUACUUUCUGAUUUCAAAUCCCACCCAGAUCAGCUUUGCCUUUCAUUCUUCUAGGGCCGUUAAAAUGAAUACCAGUUUAGCAAGUGGGUCAAUGCAAUCUACUUACCCCUCCACCUAAAAUUGCUGGCCUUGUGCCAAAAUUUGAAACCGUUAUUAUUAUUGUGACUGUUGUUGUUUGCAAAAAUAUUUAAACUAAGUAUGUUUUUAAUGUUUUUUAAAACGAUUUUUUUUUUCGUUUUCAAGCUAAAAAUUAUCUUUGGUCACCAUGACAGACUGACAACAAAAUAAGACAGAAUUACAGACCACACAUGCACGACAACAACUACAACAAAAUUACAACAACGACAGCACACUGAGUAAAACAACACAGAAAAAAAACAACAAUAAUAAAAAAAAACAAUAGUUGAUAUCUAAAACAAAUAAAAAGAACAGUAAAUGAAAAAAAAUAUUUCUAAAAGAAAAACAAAUCAAACGAAAUGUAAAAGAAAGUAAAAAAAUAAUAAAGUGGAAUCUAACUCCAGUCCUGACGGGAAAAGAAAGCAGGAUAAAAGAAAAGACAAUAAGAAGCAACUUAAAAAAAAAACAUGAACAAUUAUAUACAAAAUCGAAGUUAUGAAUAAACCAGUAAAUAAAUGAAUACAUCAUGAAGGAAUAUCCUAUGAAAAUA